GCAAAGUGUCGCGGAGAGAAGCGCCCACCCACCAGUAAACGAGCACAGCGGCAGAAGAGGGGGAAUCUUGGAACUGGAUGGCGGAGCGGGCAGAGACGCAAUCAUUUGCGGGAUCCGGCCUGCCAGACCAGGCGCGCCUCUUCUUGGAAUCCAGGGCUUGGCAACACCCAGCUCCACCAGCCUCACGUCAGGACCUCGGACAUCCUUCGGAUUCCCUCCGUCCAUAGCCACCCGCCACAAUCAAUCUCCAAGUCCAUUUCUCUCCUUUUAGCUUAGGACCUCUCUAGCCUUCCAUUCCAGGCUCUGGUGGCCUCCGGGAUUUUUCUCCAAUCUACCUUUCCCUCCUUCCCAGAGCUCUACUCAAGCUCUGGCUUAAUCCUCUCCCUCAGGUCCCACAACACCCUGGGGGUGGGAGGUCUCCACCCAACUAGAUCCUCCUCAGGACCUCCCAAAUCUCCACACAGUUGUCGUGGCCUGGAGUUUCCUCCCUAGAUUCUUGCCCAGAGUCCCACUAACCCAGUUCCCCACUUUCCACUCAUGGAUCUUUUAUGUCAUCCCCGCACUCUGCACUAAAAGGUCUCGCCAUUCUCUU